GAUGAACGCUGGCGGCGUGCUUAACACAUGCAAGUCGAACGGGCUUAGCAAAAGCUUGCUUUUGCAAAAGCUAGUGGCGAACGGGUGAGUAACACGUGGGUAACCUGCCCUACACACAGGAAUAACAAUGAGAAAUCAUUGCUAAUGCCUGAUAAGCUCCCACUAUCACAUGGUAGAGAGAGAAAAGAUUUAUCGGUGUAGGAUGGACCCGCGUCUGAUUAGCCAGUUGGUAAGGUAACGGCUUACCAAGGCGACGAUCAGUAGCCGACUUGAGAGAGUGAUCGGCCACAUUGGGACUGAGACACGGCCCAAACUCCUACGGGAGGCAGCAGUGGGGAAUAUUGCACAAUGGGGGAAACCCUGAUGCAGCAACGCCGCGUGAAGGAAGAAGGUUUUCGGAUCGUAAACUUCUAUCGAUAAGGGAAGAAAAAUGACGGUACCUAAGUAAGAAGCCCCGGCUAACUACGUGCCAGCCGCCGCAGUAACACCUAGACUGCCAAGGCAC
rnacentral:rRNA from 2 species